GUCCUGGCUGUAAACGGUGCACGUUUGCUGUAAAGGAAUCGACCCCUUUGUGGCGAAGCUAACGCGAUAAACGUGCCGCCUGGGAAGUACGGUCGCAAGAUUAAACUCAAAGAAUUGACGGGGCCGUGCACAAGCGGUGGAGUAUGUGGCUUAAUUCGAUGCAACGCGAAGAACCUUACCUGGCCUUGACAUGCAAGUGGUAGGACCAUGAAAGUGGGACGACCCCGCAAGGGGAGCUUGCACAGGUGCUGCAUGGCUGUCGU
rnacentral:rRNA from 1 species